rnacentral:rRNA from 1 species
GAAUACCGACGGCGCACUGGUGUUACAAAGUUUGCAUGAUUUCACUGACCUUCUGCAAUUCACACUACUUAUCGCAUNCGCUGCGUUNUUNAUCGAUGCCAGAACCAAGAUCCGUUGUGAAAGUGUAACUAUUAUGUUUUUUUCAGACGCUGAUUGCAACUGCAAAUGUUUAAAGUGUCCCAUCGGCGGGCGACCCGCCGGGAAAACGAAGGUAUCUCCAAAAAGGACAUGGUUAAAGAAUAGCCGGGCACAAGCCCCUCAAACCCCUAGGGAAACGAUCCCCCUUCGUCAUGUAGAUGAUGAUUCGGAAGGAUCAUUACCUAGAGUUGUAGGCUUUGCCUGCUAUCUCUUACCCAUGUCUUUUGAGUACCUUCGUUUCCUCGGCGGGUCCGCCCGCCGAUUGGACACUUUAAACCAUUUGCAGUUGCAAUCAGCGUCUGAAAAAAACAUAAUAGUUACAACUUUCAACAACGGAUCUCUUGGUUCUGGCAUCGAUGAAGAACGCAGCGAAAUGCGAUAAGUAGUGUGAAUUGCAGAAUUCAGUGAAUCAUCGAAUCUUUGAACGCACAUUGCGCCCCUUGGUAUUCCAUGGGGCAUGCCUGUUCGAGCGUCAUUUGUACCUUCAAGCUCUGCUUGGUGUUGGGUGUUUGUCUCGCCUCUGCGCGCAGACUCGCCUCAAAACAAUUGGCAGCCGGCGUAUUGAUUUCGGAGCGCAGUACAUCUCGCGCUUUGCACUCAGAACGACGACGU